rnacentral:rRNA from 1 species
UACGUAGGGUGCAAGCGUUAAUCGGAAUUACUGGGCGUAAAGCGUGCGCAGGCGGUUUUGUAAGUCUGUCGUGAAAUCCCCGGGCUCAACCUGGGAAUUGCGAUGGAGACUGCAAGGCUAGAAUCUGGCGAGAGGGGGGUGAGAAUUCCACGUGAUGAGCAGUGAAAUGCGUAGAGAUGUGGAGGAGCACCGCAGUGGCGGAAGGCAGCCCCCUGGGUCAAGAU